UUAAGUUCAGCGGGUAUCCCUACCUGAUCCGAGGUCAACCUUAGAAAUGGGCUUGUUUUACGGCGUGACCUCCCGUGGCACCCUUUAGCGAAUAUUUUCCACAACGCUGAGGGGACAGAAGACCCAGCCGGUCGAUUUGAGGCGCGCGGCGGACCGCGUCGCCCAAUACCAAGCGAGGCUUGAGUGGUGAAAUGACGCUC
rnacentral:misc_RNA from 1 species